GUGGGGAAUAUUGGACAAUGGGCGAAAGCCUGAUCCAGCCAUGCCGCGUGUGUGAAGAAGGUCUUCGGAUUGUAAAGCACUUUAAGUUGGGAGGAAGGGCAGUAAGUUAAUACCUUGCUGUUUUGACGUUACCGACAGAAUAAGCACCGGCUAACUUCGUGCCAGCAGCCGCGGUAAUACGAAGGGUGCAAGCGUUAAUCGGAAUUACUGGGCGUAAAGCGCGCGUAGGUGGUUUUGUAAGUUGGAGGUGAAAUCCCCGGGCUCAACCUGGGAACUGCCUCCAAAACUGCAUGACUAGAGUACGGUAGAGGGUAGUGGAAUUUCCUGUGUAGCGGUGAAAUGCGUAGAUAUAGGAAGGAACACCAGUGGCGAAGGCGACUACCUGUACUGAUACUGACACUGAGGUGCGAAAGCGUGGGGAGCAAACAGGAUUAGAUACCCGAGUAGUCC
rnacentral:rRNA from 1 species